AAUCCUUCUGGCAGUGGGGUUCCGUCAUAGCAUCUUCAUUUUGCUGUUCAGAAGAACAAGCCUCCCUACAGCCACCUGCUGGAAGUCACACAGGUGGCAGGGUGUUGCCUCGCUCAGUUUUCAAGGGUUACACUCAGCAGAAAAAGCCUGCAUCGGACGCAUGUGUCCUGAGAGCAUUCUGAGUUGAAAUAAACAUCCCUGUGUUUCCAUCUCUGCAUGCUUUCCUGAAGUAUAAUUGUUGGGUCGAAAGCAGCUUCAGGAACUGCUUGUCUUCAUAGUCAAAGCGGCUUCCAAAGACGACAGAACUGAUGACAUUUGAGACAGUGCGGCUCAGGAAGAAGCUGGGAUGUGGAAUUGAUGGCUGGAGCUCUAGCAGUCAUUUGCAUCAUGACAUGAUCUUGGGAAUGGAAAACACACAUCAUAGAACAAGAGAGAAGAGCCAGACCCUGUGGAGCACCCUACACUGACAACCUCUGAAAGUGUCCAAUAUAUGGCAAAGAUCACCAGGACAGACAUGUGGCAGACUGGAAGAGGUAAAGACCUCUCAGAUGUCCAUGUUACCAGGAAGAAGGAACCGUCCUUGGCCAUGGGCCCUGGAAUCAGAGAUCCUGGGGUUCAGCCUCUUCAGUAACCUGAAUACCUUUGGAUUAAAAUCCUGGGGGUUGGAUCCCACGUGGGAGUUGCCACAGGAACUUCUAAGAUCUGGGGGACUCUUCAGGUGCUGCCAAGUUUCUUUGGCCUGGACUGUGAUGUCCCAAGUGGAUUCAGGUGAACCCAGCAUCGUGUUUGUUUCUGUAGCAGUUGUGUACAGCACCCCUUCCUGUACGUUGCCUUUUUGCUGGAAAAUAUUGCACGUUGAAUCAAACUUUCUAUACAAGUUAGAGGUGGAGGGGUGCACCUCACCCAAGGUCAUGCCUUUUCUGGGGCAGCCCACUUCAGCGAUUGAUGGAGAUGCAGGACAAUUCUGAUGAGCCAUAUUGCUCCAGAGCACCCAUGGAGUUAGCUGAGGCUGGUAUGGAAUCAGCCACAGAGCUAACUUCUUCCUCCACCCACUCCUGCUUCCUGGUCUCCCUUCUAUGGGUGUUGGUUGAUGCCAACAACACUCCCUAAUAACUAUCCUACAGACCAAACUCCAUGUCAGAGUCUGCUUCCCAAAGAACCCAACCAGCAACAGCCACGUACUGGAUGAAGACAGUCAUCUAAGUGUAUAGAAGUUAACCAUGUGGUGAGCACCCAUUGUUGUAGGUGUGCUAAGAAGUGCAUUCAGGACAUGCCUACCACCUUCUGGCUAUCUGUUCUGUAUCUUUCAUGCUGUUAUGUGCCACAUCCACUUCAUACAGAGGAAGAAACUGGAGAGAGAUUCUGAGGCCUGGUACCAUUUCAGGAGCUUUUAAGACCUCUGAGACUCUUCAGAUGCUGCCAAGUUUCUUUGGUCUGGACUGAGAUGUCCCAAGUGGAUUCAGGUGCAUCCAGAUGAGUUGCCAAAGAUAUCCCUUCUGUGCCGUUCUGUUCUCAUAUCCUGAGCCAUGCAAACUGUAAAGCCAUAGUAAAUAUGAAACAACAGAGACUAGGUAAACUGGGUAGAAAUGAUACUGGUGGAAACUUUAUUUUGGGUCUCUUGUGAGGUUGCUGCCUGGGGCUAAAUUGAUCCGAAGGCUUGGCUGAGGCUGCAAGAUUCAUUCCUGAGUCCACUCAAGUGACUAUAAUACUACAGAAUAAGGAAUUUAUUAUAGAAAUUAGACCUUACAAAAUGGUGGGACUAGCUAGAAAGAUAAAGAUCUGAACAGGGAAUCAAGAACCAGAGAAAGCUCAUUAAACAGCCCUGAGACAGAUGAGUGAGUCAGAAAUCUGGAUGUUAGGCACAUCCAUUGUUAGAGAAAGACCACGAAGGGGGAGGGACUUCUCUAGAAGCUUAUUGGCUUUUUGGGCUACCACUUCUGUGAGUUCAAAGUGAGAUGGCUGAUGGUGGGUUUGGGGCCACUUUUGAUCAGCAGGACCAGCAAUUGGGAAGGAGAGUUGUAUGUAGAAAAAUAAGAUCGAGGGCAAAUCAGAACCCUUCACCAAUUCUAAAUCUGUCUCCCAAUGUGUCUGACUUACGGCAGUCUUCAAAGAAAAAUGGCUGCUCCUUGGUUUCCACCUCAAAAAUCCCAUACA